rnacentral:rRNA from 1 species
AUUGAACGCUGGCGGCAGGCUUAUCACAUGCAAGUCGAGCGGAGAUGAGGUGCUUGCACCUUAUCUUAGCGGCGGACGGGUGAGUAAUGCUUAGGAAUCUGCCUAUUAGUGGGGGACAACAUUCCGAAAGGAAUGCUAAUACCGCAUACGUCCUACGGGAGAAAGCAGGGGAUCUUCGGACCUUGCGCUAAUAGAUGAGCCUAAGUCGGAUUAGCUAGUUGGUGGGGUAAAGGCCUACCAAGGCGACGAUCUGUAGCGGGUCUGAGAGGAUGAUCCGCCACACUGGGACUGAGACACGGCCCAGACUUCUACGGGAGGCAGCAGUGGGGAAUAUUGGACAAGGGGGGGAACCCUGAUCCAGCCAUGCCGCGUGUGUGAAGAAGGCCUUAUGGUUGUAAAGCACUUUAAGCGAGGAGGAGGCUACUGAGACUAAUACUCUUGGAUAGUGGACGUUACUCGCAGAAUAAGCACCGGCUAACUCUGUGCCAGCAGCCGCCGUAA